rnacentral:rRNA from 1 species
AACGAACGCUGGCGGCAUGCCUAACACAUGCAAGUCGAACGAGACCUUCGGGUCUAGUGGCGCACGGGUGCGUAACGCGUGGGAACCUGCCCUUAGGUUCGGAAUAACUCCCCGAAAGGGGUGCUAAUACCGGAUAAUGUCUUCGGACCAAAGAUUUAUCGCCUUUGGAUGGGCCCGCGUUGGAUUAGCUAGUUGGUAGGGUAAAAGCCUACCAAGGCGAUGAUCCAUAGCUGGUCUGAGAGGAUGAUCAGCCACACUGGGACUGAGACACGGCCCAGACUCCUACGGGAGGCAGCAGUGGGGAAUAUUGGACAAUGGGCGAAAGCCUGAUCCAGCAAUGCCGCGUGAGUGAUGAAGGCCUUAGGGUUGUAAAGCUCUUUUACCCGGGAUGAUAAUGACAGUACCGGGAGAAUAAGCUCCGGCUAACUCCGCG